rnacentral:rRNA from 1 species
ACCCCCGUGAGAAUGCCCCCCAACCUCCCCAACCGGAGACGAGGAGCCGGUAUCAGGCACAACAUCUUUAGCCCAUGACGCCUUGCUUAGCCACACCCCCAAGGGAACUCAGCAGUGAUAAACAUUAAGCCAUAAGUGAAAGCUUGACUUAGUUAAUGUUAAGAGGGCCGGUAAAUCUCGUGCCAGCCACCGCGGUUAUACGAGGGGCCCGAGUCGAUAGCCCUCGGCGUAAAGGGUGGUUAGGAGACGUACUUAAAACUAAAGGUAAAUAACUUCAAAGCUGUUAUACGCUCAUGAAGUCAAGAGAAUCAACUACGAAAGUGACUUUAUAACUUCUGAAUCCACGAAAGCUAUGGCACAAACUGGGAUUAGAUACCCCACUAUGCUUAGCCCUAAACAUAGAUACAAAUCUACUAUUUUAUCCGCCUGGGGACUACGAGCAUCAGCUUAAAACCCAAAGGACUUGGCGGUGCUUUAGAUCCACCUAGAGGAGCCUGUUCUAGAACCGAUAAUCCCCGUUAAACCUCACCUUUCCUUGUCUCUUUCCGCCUAUAUACCGCCGUCGUCAGUUUACUCUGUGAAGAACCUGCAGUAGGCACAAUCGGUACAGCCCAAAACGCCAGGUCGAGGUGUAGCGUAUGGAAAGGGAAGAAAUGGGCUACAUUCGAUAUUUUAUUGAAUACGGACGACACCCUGAAAUGAGUGUCUGAAGGAGGAUUUAGCAGUAAGCAGAGAAUAGAGAGCCCUGCUGAAACUGGCCCUGAAGCGCGCACACACCGCCCGUCACUCUCCCCGAGCUAAUAAACUUUUAUUAACUAAAAAACGAAACCUGUAAAGGGGAGGCAAGUCGUAACAUGGUAAGUGUACCGGAAGGUGCACUUGGAUAAACU